CUAUGAUGAUACCCAUGAGCUGGCACCAGUCCUAGAAAGAUUUGUACUCUGUUUUCUGCGGAAUGCUUAACCGGGCUAGAAAAAAAGCCCAUCUGAA
rfam:Trichophyton equinum CBS 127.97 supercont1.19 genomic scaffold, whole genome shotgun sequence.